rnacentral:lncRNA from 1 species
GUUCCCGUGGAGGAAUGAAAGAGAUCAAGGGGAAGAGAGCUGCCAGCUCCCUGGGGCCCUGCACCUGCCAGCUGCCGCUACAUACUCUGAGAAACACUGCUGCCAGCUAGAGGGGAGCACCUGUCCCAGAACCUCAGGACCUGGGACGAGAACCUCUGGGUGACUCCUUGGAACAAUGAAUCGGACCACCUGUGGGUUCCAGCACUCCAGAGCCAGCAGUGCCUUCCUGAACAGCUCCACACCAUUGCUCUUCUUGGAGAAUAUCACCACCUUGAAGCCAGAGACUGAAACUGAAGAAUUCAGCGGGUGGGUGAGAGAGGGGCUGGAGCUAUGGAGCGGGAGAGUUGGAGAAGGGGUCUGCUUGGCCCUGAUGUGGGGAUGGUGUGAGUGGGACCAUGGCCUUGGAGGUUGGGAAGAGAAGAGAGGCUUCAAACGGAGGCAAGAGAUGGUUGGCUACUGGGGAUGUGGAAGCCCAGAGGUGGAAGAGCUCCUGGAGGAGGGAGGCCCCAGGGCAAUUUGUGGACAGUCAUUAAAGCUAGCCAGAGCCGCUGCGGCGUCCUCAUCGCUCUCGUUUGCUUCCCUCAGUUUAGGCACAGCAGCCACAGCCAUUUCUGUCUCCGUUGGCGUCAUGGCCCUCAUCUUGCUCCUAGUGGGUCUCUUGUCCAUGACCCUGAAGAAAUGGAGGCACGAGAGACUAUUUAAGAAACAACUGAGGCAUCAGACCAACCUUCUCCACAAAUCCUCGGAGCUGUCCUGCCAUGCGGAUGCCAUAUAUUGCAAUGUGAUCAACCUGGCCCCCUGGAAAGAGGAUGACUUCGCCAUCUAUGCCAAUGUGCUCCCUUUUGAUCACCCCAGGAGAACAUCACCAGACCAAGUGGAAUACACCUCUGUGCUGUUCCACUGA